UCAGUAACACGUAGUCAACAUGUCCCAGGGUUACGUUGGUAUAACCUCGGGAAACUGAGGAUAAACCGCGAUAGGUCACUACUUCUGGAAUGGGUAAUGACCCAAACCUAUAUGGCCCCUGGAUUGGACUGCGCCGAUCAGGCUGUUGGUGAGGUAAUGGCCCACCAAACCUGUAACCGGUACGGGCUCUGAGAGGAGGAGCCCGGGAGAUGGGCACUGAGACAAGGGCCCAGGCCCUAUGGGGCGCAGCAGGCGCGAAACCUCUGCAAUAGGCGAAAGCUUGACAGGGUUACUCUGAGUGAUUUCCGUUAAGGAAGAUCUUUUGGCACCUCUAAAAAUGGUGCAGGUAAUAAGGGUGUGCAAGUCUG
rnacentral:rRNA from 1 species